GUAACUGCGAGUGAAGCGGGAAAAGCUCAAAUUUAAAAUCUGGUAGUCUUUGGCUAUCCGAGUUGUAAUCUAGAGAAGCGUUAUCCGUGCUGGACCGUGUAUAAGUCUCCUGGAAUGGAGCGUCAUAGAGGGUGAGAAUCCCGUCUUUGACACGGACUACCAGGGCUUUGUGAUGCGCUCUCAAAGAGUCGAGUUGUUUGGGAAUGCAGCUCUAAAUGGGUGGUAAAUUCCAUCUAAAGCUAAAUAUUGGCGAGAGACCGAUAGCGAACAAGUACCGUGAGGGAAAGAUGAAAAGAACUUUGGAAAGAGAGUUAAACAGUACGUGAAAUUGUUGAAAGGGAAACGCUUGAAGUCAGUCGCAUUGAUCAGGGAUCAACCUUGCUUCCUGCUUGGUGCACUUCUUGGUUAAUGGGUCAGCAUCAAUUUUGACCAGUGGAAAAAGGUCGAGGGAAUGUGGCAUCUUCGGAUGUGUUAUAGCCCUUGGUUGCAUACAUUGGUUGGGAUUGAGGAACUCAGCACGCCGCAAGGCCGGGUUUUUUUAACCACGUUCGUGCUUAGGAUGCUGGCAUAAUGGCUUUAAUCGA
rnacentral:rRNA from 1 species